AGAGUUUGAUCCUGGCUCAGGACGAACGCUGGCGGCGUGCCUUACGCAUGCAAGUCGAGCGGGGUACAGGGCUUCGGUCCUGUACCUAGCGGCGGACGGCUGAGUAACACGUAAGUAACCUGCCCUCCAGUGGGGGAUAACCCCUCGAAAGAGGGGCUAAUACCGCAUGCGUUCCCGGAGGGGAGUUCUCCGGGAGGAAAGCCUUCGGGCGCUGGAGGAGGGGCUUGCGGCCUAUCAGGUAGUUGGUGGGGUAACGGCCUACCAAGCCUACGACGGGUAGCUGGUCUGAGAGGAUGAUCAGCCAGACGGGGACUGAGACACGGCCCCGACUCCUACGGGAGGCAGCAGCGAGGAAUCUUGCGCAAUGGGCGAAAGCCUGACGCAGCAACGCCGCGUGGGGGAAGAAGGCUUUCGAGUCGUAAACCCCUUUUGCAGGGGAAGAAGAUCUGACGGUACCCUGCGAAUAAGCCACGGCUAACUACGUGCCAGCAGCCGCGGUAAUACGUAGGUGGCAAGCGUUGUUCGGAUUUAUUGGGCGUAAAGGGCGCGUAGGCGGUUCAUUAAGUUCGGGGUGAAAUCUCCCGGCUCAACUGGGAGGGAUCCUCGGAUACUGAUGGACUAGAGGGGGGUAGAGGAAGGCGGAAUUCCCGGAGGAGCGGUGAAAUGCGUAGAUACCGGGAGGAACACCAGUGGCGAAGGCGGCCUUCUGGGCCUACCCUGACGCUGAGGCGCGAAAGCGUGGGGAGCAAACCGGAUUAGAUACCCGGGUAGUCCACGCCCUAAACGGUGGACACUAGGUGUGGGGGGUAUCGACCCCCUCCGUGCCGCAGCUAACGCUUUAAGUGUCCCGCCUGGGAAGUACGGCCGCAAGGCUAAAACUCAAAGGAAUUGACGGG
rnacentral:rRNA from 1 species